GACGAACCGUGCGAACGUUGUUCGGAAUCACUGGGCUUAAAGGGCGCGUAGGCGGGCUGCCAAGUCAGGGGUGAAAGCCCACGGCUCAACCGUGGAAGUGCCUUUGAUACUGGCGGCCUUGAGGGAGGUGAGGGGCGGGGUGGAACUUCCGGUGGAGCGGUGAAAUGCGUAGAUAUCGGAAGGAACGCCGGUGGCGAAAGCGGCCCGCUGGACCUCUUCUGACGCUGAGGCGCGAAAGCCAGGGGAGCAAAGCGGG
rnacentral:rRNA from 1 species